rnacentral:rRNA from 1 species
UCCGGAAUUAUUGGGCGUAAAGAGCUUGUAGGCGGUUUGUCGCGUCUGCUGUGAAAGGCCGGGGCUUAACCCCGUGUAUUGCAGUGGGUACGGGCAGACUAGAGUGCAGUAGGGGAGACUGGAACUCYUGGUGUAGCGGUGGAAUGCGCAGAUAUCAGGAAGAACACCGAUGGCGAAGGCAGGUCUCUGGGCUGUAACUGACGCUGAGAAGCGAAAGCGUGGGGAGCGAACAGGAUUAGAUACCCUGGUAGUCCAUGCCGUAAACGUUGGGCACUAGGUGUGGGGGACAUUCCACGUUUUCCGCGCCGUAGCUAACGCAUUAAGUGCCCCGCCUGGGGAGUACGGCCGCAAGGCUAAAACUCAAAGAAAUUGACAGGGGCCCGCACAAGCGGCGGAGCAUGCGGAUUAAUUCGAUGCAACGCGAAGAACCUUACCAAGGCUUGACAU